GGGCCCUUAGCUCAGUCCGGCUAGAGCGCUUCCCUGACACGGAAGAGGCCACUGGUUCAAGUCCAGUAGGGCCCACCA
rnacentral:tRNA from 1 species